rnacentral:rRNA from 1 species
AGAGUUUGAUCAUGGCUCAGGACGAACGCUGGCGGCGUGCUUAACACAUGCAAGUCGAGCGGAAAGGCUCCUUCGGGGGUACUCGAGCGGCGAACGGGUGAGUAACACGUGAGUAAUCUGCCCUCCACUCUAGGAUAACGUUCAGAAAUGGGUGCUAAUACCGGAUGUACACAGGCUGACGCAUGUUGGUGUGUGGAAAGGUUUUUUCUGGUGGGGGAUGUGCUCGCGGCCUAUCAGCUUGUUGGUGGGGUAAUGGCCUACCAAGGCUUUGACGGGUAGCCGGCCUGAGAGGGUGACCGGCCACACUGGGACUGAGACACGGCCCAGACUCCUACGGGAGGCAGCAGUGGGGAAUAUUGGACAAUGGGCGGAAGCCUGAUCCAGCAACGCCGCGUGAGGGAUGACGGCCUUCGGGUUGUAAACCUCUUUCACCAUUGACGAAGCUGCAUCUUUUUGGGUGUGGUGACGGUAGGUGGGGAAGAAGCACCGGCCAACUACGUGCCAGCAGCCGCGGUAAUACGUAGGGUGCGAGCGUUGUCCGGAAUUAUUGGGCGUAAAGGGCUCGUAGGCGGUUUGUCGCGUCGGGAGUGAAAACCUUGGGCUUAACUCAGGGCUUGCUUUCGAUACGGGCAGACUAGAGGUAUGCAGGGGAGAACGGAAUUCCUGGUGUAGCGGUGAAAUGCGCAGAUAUCAGGAGGAACCACCGGUGGCGAAGGCGGUUCUCUGGGCAUGAUCUGACGCUGAGGAGCGAAAGUGUGGGGAGCGAACAGGAUUAGAUACCCUGGUAGUCCACACCGUAAACGUUGGGCGCUAGGUGUGGGAUCCAUUCCACGGGUUCCGUGCCGCAGCUAACGCAUUAAGCGCCCCGCCUGGGGAGUACGGCCGCAAGGCUAAAACUCAAAGGAAUUGACGG